rnacentral:rRNA from 1 species
GUGGGGAAUUUUGGACAAUGGGCGCAAGCCUGAUCCAGCAAUGCCGCGUGCAGGAAGAAGGCCUUCGGGUUGUAAACUGCUUUUGUACGGAACGAAAAGGCUCUGGUUAAUACCUGGGGCUCAUGACGGUACCGUAAGAAUAAGCACCGGCUAACUACGUGCCAGCAGCCGCGGUAAUACGUAGGGUGCAAGCGUUAAUCGGAAUUACUGUGCGUAAAGCGUGCGCAGGCGGUUUUGUAAGACAGACGUGAAAUCCCCGGGCUCAACCUGGGAAUGGCGUUUGUGACUGCAAAGCUGGAGUGCGGCAGAGGGGGAUGGAAUUCCGCGUGUAGCAGUGAAAUGCGUAGAUAUGCGGAGGAACACCGAUGGCGAAGGCAAUCCCCUGGGCCUGCACUGACGCUCAUGCACGAAAGCGUGGGGAGCAAACAGGAUUAGAUACCCUUGUAGUCC